rnacentral:misc_RNA from 1 species
GAUGAAGAACGCAGCGAAAUGCGAUAAGUAAUGCGAAUUGCAGAAUUCCAGUGAGUCAUCGAAUCUUUGAACGCACAUUGCGCCCGCCAGUAUUCUGGCGGGCAUGCCUGUUCGAGCGUCAUUUCAACCAUCAAGCCCCAGGCUUGUGUUGGGGACCUGCGGCUGCCGCAGGCCCUGAAAACCAGUGGCGGGCUCGCUGUCACACCGGGCGUAGUAGAUUUUAUCUCGCUCAGGGCGUGCUGCGGGUUCCGGCCGUUAAAAAGCCUUUUUUACCCAAGGUUGACCUCGGAUCAGGUAGGAAUACCCGCUGAACUUAAGCAUAUCAUAAGCGGAGGA